ensembl:snRNA U6 U6 spliceosomal RNA
UAGCUCGCUUCGACAGCACAUAGACUAAAAUUGGAAUAGUACAGAGGAGAUUAGCAUGGCCCCUGUGCAAGGCUGACAUGCAAAUUCAGGAAGUGCUCCAUACAUUU